CACCAGACUCCUACGGGAGGCAGCAGUGGGGAAUAUUGGACAAUGGGGGGAACCCUGAUCCAGCGACGCCGCGUGAGUGAAGAAGUAUUUCGGUAUGUAAAGCUCUAUCAGCAGGGAAGAAGAUGACGGUACCUGACUAAGAAGCCCCGGCUAACUACGUGCCAGCAGCCGCGGUAAUACGUAGGGGGCAAGCGUUAUCCGGAUUUACUGGGUGUAAAGGGAGCGUAGACGGCGAUGCAAGCCAGAUGUGAAAGCCCGGGGCUCAACCCCGGGACUGCAUUUGGAACUGUGUGGCUGGAGUGUCGGGGAGGCAGGCGGAAUUCCUAGUGUAGCGGUGAAAUGCGUAGAUAUCAGGAGGAACACCGGUGGCGAAGGCGGCCUGCUGGACUGCAACUGACGUUGAGGCCCGAAAGCGUGGGGAGCAAACAGGAUUAGAUACCCCAGUAAAG
rnacentral:rRNA from 1 species